UGGGUCGAGGAGGAGGAGAAGAGGGGUUAAAAGGAAAGAGGAGGGCUGGGUCGAGGAGGAGGAGAAGAGGGGUUAAAAUGAAAGAGGAGGGCUGGGUCGAGGAGGAGGAGAAGAGGGGUUAAAAGGAAAGAGGAGGGCUGGGUCGAGGAAGAGAAGAGGGGUUAAAAGGAAAGAGGAGGGGCUGGGUCGAGGAGGAGGAGAAGGGUUAAAAGGAAAGAGGAGGGCUGGGUCGAAGAGGAGGAGAGGGGUUAAAAGGAAAGAAGAGGGGUUAAAAGGAAAGAGGAGGGCUGGGUCGAGGAGGAGGAGAAGAAGGGUUAAAAGGAAAGAGGAGGGCUGGGUCGAGGAGGAGGAGGAGAGGGGUUAAAAGGAAAGAGGAGGGCUGGGUCGAGGAGGAGAAAAGGGGUUAAAAGGAAAGAGGAGGGCUGGGUCGAGGAGGAGGAGAAGAAGGGUUAAAAGGAAAGAGGAGGGCUGGGUCGAGGAGGAGGAGAAGAAGGGUUAAAAGGAAAGAGGAGGGCUGGGUCGAGGAGGAGGAGAAGAAGGGUUAAAAGGAAAGCGGAGGGCUCGGUCGAGGAGGAGAAGAAGAGGGGUUAAAAGGAAAAAGGAGUGAUGGGUCGAGGAGGAGGAGAAGGGGGGUUAAAAGGAAAGAGGAGGGCUGGGUCGAGGAGGAGGAGAAGGGGGUUAAAAAGGAAAGAGAAGGGCUGGGUCGAGGAGGAGGAGAGGGGUUAAAAGGAAAGAAGAGGGGUUAAAAGGAAAGAGGAGGGCUGGGUCGAGGAGGAGGAGAAGAAGGGUUAAAAGGAAAGAGGAGGGCUGGGUCGAGGAGGAGGAGGAGAGGGGUUAAAAGGAAAGAGGAGGGCUGGGUCGAGGAGGAGAAAAAUGGGUUAAAAGGAAAGAGGAGGGCUGGGUCGAGGAGGAGGAGAAGAAGGGUUAAAAGGAAAGCGGAGGGCUGGGUCGAGGAGGAGAAGAAGAGGGGUUAAAAGGAAAAAGGAGUGAUGGGUCGAGGAGGAGGAGAAGGGGGUUAAAAGGAAAGAGGAGGGCUGGGUCGAGGAGGAGGAGAAGGGGGGUUAAAAGGAAAGAGGAGGGCUGGGUCGAGGAGGAGGAGAAGAGGGGUUAAAAGGAAAGAGGAGGGCUGGGUCGAGGAGGAGGAGAAGAGGGGUUAAAAGGAAAGAGGAGGGCUGGGUCGAGGAGGAGGAGAAGAGGGGUUAAAAGGAAAGAGGAGGGCUGGGUCGAGGAGGAGAAGGAGAGGGGUUAAAAGGAAAGAGGAGGGCUGGGUCGAGGAGGAGGAGAAGAGGGGUUAAAAGGAAAGAGGAGGGCUGGGUCGAGGAGGAGGAGAAGAAGGGUUAAAAGGAAAGAGGAGGGCUGGGUAGAGGAGGAGGAGAAGAAGGGUUAAAAGGAAAGAGGAGGGCUGGGUCGAGGAGGAGGAGAAGAAGGGUUAAAAGGAAAGCGGAGGGCUGGGUGGAGGAGGAGAAGAAGAGGGGUUAAAAGGAAAAAGGAGUGAUGGGUCGAGGAGGAGGAGAAGGGGGGUUAAAGGGAAAGAGGAGGGCUGGGUCGAGGAGGAGGAGAAGGGGGGUUAAAAGGAAAGAGGAGGGCUGGGUCGAGGAGGAGGA